GACAAUCCAACUGGAUUUCAGCUUUUUCUCCAAUAGAAAGAAUUGUGACUUGUUUACAGAUUGUCCAGUUUCCUCGAAACCUAUCUAUCUAACACAAUCUCUUUCCUAUUGCUUAACCCCUUGAUCCUUGCAGUCACUCAGCAGACUCACACAAAAUCAAGUCAAGCUCCUUCUUGAUGAGGCCUCUCACCCAAGAAGAUCGCCACCAGUUUCUAGCUGGAUUUUUCGCAGUCGUUUCUUUACAAAGAAUUUAUUACAAGCAAAAUAAAAGAAGUACAAAAGUGUCUUCAAUCUUGAUCAAUGUAUCUCUCACGAAUCUGGUUGUUCAAUGAUUGUUUAUGAGAACAUUGUCUUUUCUCUCAAGAAUACUUUUUCAGCUCUCUCAAUGAUUAUGGAUAAUCUUUUUGG
rnacentral:lncRNA from 1 species